rnacentral:rRNA from 1 species
AUUGAACGCUGGCGGCAUGCUUUACACAUGCAAGUCGAACGGUAACAGGCCGCAAGGUGCUGACGAGUGGCGAACGGGUGAGUAAUGCAUCGGGACGUGCCCAGUCGUGGGGGAUAACGCAGCGAAAGCUGCGCUAAUACCGCAUACGAUCUAUGGAUGAAAGCGGGGGACCGAAAGGCCUCGCGCGAUUGGAGCGGCCGAUGUCAGAUUAGGUAGUUGGUGGGGUAAAGGCUCACCAAGCCAACGAUCUGUAGCUGGUCUGAGAGGACGACCAGCCACACUGGGACUGAGACACGGCCCAGACUCCUACGGGAGGCAGCAGUGGGGAAUUUUGGACAAUGGGCGCAAGCCUGAUCCAGCAAUGCCGCGUGCAGGAAGAAGGCCUUCGGGUUGUAAACUGCUUUUGUACGGAACGAAAAGGCUCUGGUUAAUACCUGGGGCUCAUGACGGUACCGUAAGAAUAAGCACCGGCUAACUACGUGCCAGCCGCCGCGGUAAGAC